rnacentral:rRNA from 1 species
AAUCAUGGCUCAGAUUGAACGCUGGCGGCAGGCUUAACACAUGCAAGUCGAGCGGGGAAGAGUAGCUUGCUACUUGACCUAGCGGCGGACGGGUGAGUAAUGCUUAGGAAUCUGCCUAUUAGUGGGGGACAACAUCUCGAAAGGGAUGCUAAUACCGCAUACGUCCUACGGGAGAAAGCAGGGGGACCUUCGGGCCUUGCGCUAAUAGAUGAGCCUAAGUCGGAUUAGCUAGUUGGUGGGGUAAAGG